AUUCUUUUANUAUNAAUAAGUACAACUGACUUCCAAUCAGUUAGUUUUGGUCUAACCCAAAAAAGAAUA
rnacentral:tRNA from 1 species